rnacentral:rRNA from 1 species
UACGUAGGGGGCAAGCGUUGUCCGGAUUUAUUGGGUCGUAAAGCGCUCGCAGGUGGUUCGUCGCGUCGUGCGUGAAAGACCCCGGCUCAACUGGGGAGGUCGUGCGAUACGGGCGAACUGGAGGCCAGUAGGGGGAUGCGGAAUUCCGGGUGUAGUGGUGGAAUGCGUAGAGAUCCGGAGAACACCAGCGGCCGAAGGCGGCAUCCUGGACUGGUCCUGACACUCAGGAGCGAAAGC